rnacentral:tRNA from 2 species
GCCCCCAUCGUCCAGCGGCCUAGGACGCCGGCCUUUCACGCCGGUAACACGGGUUCGAAUCCCGUUGGGGGUA